rnacentral:rRNA from 1 species
AUUGAACGCUGGCGGAAUGCUUUACACAUGCAAGUCGAGCGGCAGCACGGGGGCAACCCUGGUGGCGAGCGGCGAACGGGUGAGUAACACAUCGGAACAUGCCCAGUCGUGGGGGAUAACACUUCGAAAGAAGUGCUAAUACCGCAUACGUCCUGAGGGAGAAAGCGGGGGAUCGCAAGACCUCGCGCGAUUGGAGUGGCCGAUGUCAGAUUAGCUAGUUGGUGGGGUAAAGGCCUACCAAGGCAACGAUCUGUAGCUGGUCUGAGAGGAUGAUCAGCCACACUGGGACUGAGACACGGCCCAGACUCCUACGGGAGGCAGCAGUGGGGAAUUUUGGACAAUGGGGGCAACCCUGAUCCAGCCAUGCCGCGUGAGUGAAGAAGGCCUUCGGGUUGUAAAGCUCUUUCGGCAGGAACGAAACGGUGAGCUCUAACAUAGCUUGCUAAUGACGGUACCUGAAAAAGAAGCACCGGCUAACUACGUG